rnacentral:rRNA from 1 species
AUCGAACGCUGGCGGCAGGCUUAACACAUGCAAGUCGAGCGAGCGGCGGACGGGUGAGCAAUGUCUGGGAAACUGCCUGAUGGAGGGGGAUAACUACCGGAAAUGGUAGCUAAUACCGCAUACCAUCAGAUGUGCCCAGGUGGGAUUAGCUAGUAGGUGGGGUAAUGGCUCACCUAGGCGACGAUCCCUAGCUGGUCUGAGAGGAUGACCAGCCACACUGGAACUGAGACACGGUCCAAACUCCUACGGGAGGCAGCAGUGGGGAAUAUUGCACAAUGGGCGCAAGCCUGAUGCAGCCAUGCCGCGUGUGUGAAGAAGGCCUUCGGAUUGUAAAGCACUUUCGGCGAGGAGGCGUUACUCACAGAGAAAGCACCGGCUAACUCCGUGCCAGCAGCCGCGGUAAUAC